rnacentral:rRNA from 1 species
CUUGAACGCUGGCGGCAGGCCUAACACAUGCAAGUCGAGCGAGCGGCGGACGGGUGAGUAAUGUCUGGGAAACUGCCUGAUGGAGGGGGAUAACUACUGGAAACGGUAGCUAAUACCGCAUACCAUCAGAUGUGCCCAGAUGGGAUUAGCUAGUAGGUGGGGUACUGGCUCACCUAGGCGACGAUCCCUAGCUGGUCUGAGAGGAUGACAAGCAACACUGGAACUGAGACACGGUCCAGACUCCUACGGGAGGGAGCAGUGGGGAAUAGUGCACAAUGGGCGCAAGCCUGAUGCAGCCAUGCCGCGUGUGUGAAGAAGGCCUGCGGGUUGUAAAGCACUUGCAGUCGGGAGGCGUUACCGACAGAAGAAGCACCGGCUAACUCCGUGCCAGCCGCCGCGGUAAUAC